UCCUGAGAUGUUUGGUUAAAUCCCCCAACCAGCGCAACCCCUGUCUCAUGUUUUCCGCACGUUAUGGUGGGGACUCCUGAGAAACUGCCGGGGUCAACUCGGAAGAAAGGGGGGAUGACAUCAAAUCAUCAUGCCCCUUAUGUCUAGGGGUUCACACAUGCUACAAUGGGUAGUACAAAAGGGUGCGAAACCGCGAGGUGGAGCGAAUCCCUUAAAACUAGUCUCAAUUCGGAUUGGGGUCUGCAACUCCACCCCAUGAAAUCGGAAUCCCUAGUAAUCCCAAAACAACAUUGCUG
rnacentral:rRNA from 1 species